UCUUACACAGUGAGACCAUCAGAUAUAUCUGCCAACCUAAUUGGACAGGGAGGUGCCUGGGAAACCAUACAGUAAUGUGUGGAUGCACCUGAGGAUAUUUCCAGAGAGAGUUAAUGCAGCGGGGAGACCAACCUUGAGUGCUUCCCACGGAGCUGGGCACGUUAUCGGACUACUCGUGAUGUGCACUAGAAUGCUUGUAGCUAACGAAUUACUCUCUGAACUCCAAGGCUGACGGCUGUCUCUUGAAAACACAGCCAAUGAAUCAAUAUGUCUGGAGAGAGCAGCCUGUCUUCAAAGGAAGAAAAAUUCAGCUAAAAAGAGGCCAGACCUGAGAUUCGAGCCCUCCUACCUGCUCCUGGGCCAGCAAAGCCUUCUUCUUCAUGAUUUUCAUGGCAUAGACGUCCCCGGUUGCCUUUUCUCUAACCACCUGAACUUCAGCGAAGUGACCACAGCCCACGAGACUUCGAACUUCGAAGUCUCUCACUGACGGCUGGAGCUCCCGUAACUCAGCUACAGUGUCAGAAUCUGUGGAAGAUGGAAGAGUCACACCCAGAUGAAAAGAAACACUUCGGAUGCACACAUCUUGCAAAGGAGGAAAAAAGAGAAAGAGAAAUGUGUUCUGUCUUCCAUCCCCUUCAGAAGACGUUUAGUCACUCCUCAUCUAUCAUGAACAAUUAUAAAAUCAG